UGCUCUGCCAAGUUGCUCUCUACUCUGCUCACAGCUUCACGCCUACUGCCUGCCCUUCUCUGUCCCCUUCUCGUGCCCUUCACGCUUUUCCUCCCCUUGCUGAGCAAGGCCAUGCCGGUAGCUACCUUGAACCUCCUCCGCCCUUUGCCUUCCUCCACAGAGAUGCUUGCUUCUGGCCAGCACUCCUGCCCGGUGCCUAGCCACACACCUCAUCUCUUGGGAGAUAGCAAGCUGGCCUGUAGCUACCCACACCUCCUCCCGGGCAUGGCUUCUCAGCUUUGCUUCAAGCCCAGAACCCAAAGGAGCUCCUCUUACCUUUUGGCCCACAUUCUUCUCCUCCCGCGCAGCUCCUGUGGCAAGCAGGGGCACAGCUCUGGCCAGAGUCCUCCAUUCCUGCAAGGUUGCUUUUUGUCAUUCUUUGCCUUCUGUUGCUGUGCUCUCUUUUGCUGUGCUAUGCCUAGCUUUCCUACUUGCUUGCUCUGUAUUUACAUGCAUUGCUUUUGACUUUUAUUCUCCUUUGUCCUCUGUUUCAUUAGUUUCCCUUCAACCCUCCCCCUUCCCUCACCCUACCUCCAAUUUUUUCCUUCCUACCCUCUCUCCUCUCCCCCCCAGCCACCCACACCCCCCACUUACUCACCCCCCUCACCUCUGCCCCCUCUCCACCCCUCCUCCCUCCCCCCUCUCGCCCACUCACCCCCCUCUAGCCCCACUGCUCCUCCCCCUCUCCCCCCUCUCUCACUUCCUUCCCCUCCCCUCCCCUCUCUUUUGCCCCCAUCCACUACCAUUCCCCCUUGCUUUAAGGGAAACUUACCUUUCCUGCUCUUCACUGACUUCUUGAUUCUCGUGGCUUUGGCUGCUAUUUUGCCUUGCUUUCCUUUGCUCUGCUAUGCAUUGCUUUCUCUGUAUUUCUUGCCAUCCACUCCUUCCUUUGAGUUAUUCUUUACUUUUUCACUUGGCUUUUUUCUUCUUUCUCUUUACCUUUCUUCUCUUGUCAUUAUUCGGUUUUUUGUUUGUUUUUCUGUUUUCAUCUAUUAGUUUUUUCUUUUCCUUUUUUCUUUUUUCAUAUUUUCUCUUUUCUCUUUUUUAUUCUAUUUUCUCUUUUUUUUUCUUUUUUUUUUUUUUUUUCUUUUUUUCUUUUCUCUUUUUUUCUUUUUUGUUCAUUUUCUUUCUUUCUUUUUCUUUUUUCUUUUUUGUUCAUUUUUUUUUCUUUUAUCUUUUUUCUCUUUUCAUUCAUUUUUUUUUUUUUUCUUUUCUCUUUUUUGUCUAUUUUGUUCAAUUUCUUUUUGUCUUUUAUCUUUUUUCUCUUUUUCAUUCAUUUUUUCUUUUUUUCUUUUCAUUUUUUCUCUUUUUCUUAUUUUUCUUUUCUUUUUUCUCUUUUUUCAUAUUUUUUGUUCUUAUUUUUUCUUUUCUUUUCUUUUUUCAUCAUAGGUUUGCCUUCAGCCCUCCCCUCAGCCCUUCCCUCCGCUCUGCUCUUCACCCAUCCCCUCCCCUCCCCAUCCCCUCUUUUCUCCCUUACCCUCCCCUUUCCCCUUGCCUUUGCCUCCCAGUACCUUGCCUGCCCUUCACUUACCUUCUCCUCACUUCCUGCUCCUUGAUGCUAUGGGCUUUUGCUGCUACUCACGCCAAACCCCAACACUUGCCUACUCUGCGUGCUGCUCUGCCAAGUUGCUCUCUACUCUGCUCACAGCUUCACGCCUACUGCCUGCCCUUCUCUGUCCCCUUCUCGUGCCCUUCACGCUUUUCCUCCCCUUGCUGAGCAAGGCCAUGCCCGGUAGCUACCCUUGAACCUCCUCCGCCCUUUGCCUUCCUCCACAGAGAUGCUUGCUUCUGGCCAGCACUCCUGCCCGGUGCCUAGCCCACACACCUCAUCUCUUGGGGAGAUAGCAAGCUGGCCUGUAGCUACCCACACCUCCUCCCGGGCAUGGCUUCUCAGCUUUGCUUCAAGCCCAGAACCCAAAGGAGCUCCUCUUACCUUUUGGCCCACAUUCUUCUCCUCCCGCGCAGCUCCUGUGGCAAGCAGGGGCACAGCUCUGGCCAGAGUCCUCCAUUCCUGCAAGGUUGCUUUUUUGUCAUUCUUUGCCUUCUGUUGCUGUGCUCUCUUUUGCUGUGCUAUGCCUAGCUUUCCUACUUGCUUGCUCUGUAUUUACAUGCAUUGCUUUUGACUUGUUAUUCUCCUUUGUCCGUCUGUUUCAUUAGUUUCCCUUCAACCCUCCCCCUUCCCUCACCCUACCUCCAAUUUUUUCCUUCCUACCCUCUCUCCUCUCCCCCCCAGCCACCCACACCCCCACUUACUCACCCCCCUCACCUCUGCCCCCUCUCCACCCC
rnacentral:lncRNA from 7 species